CCUACGGGAGGCAGCAGUAGGGAAUAUUGCUCAAUGGGGGAAACCCUGAAGCAGCAACGCCGCGUGGAGGAUGAAGGUUUUCGGAUUGUAAACUCCUUUUGGUAGAGAAGAUAAUGACGGUAACUAACGAAUCAGCACCGGCUAACUCCGUGCCAGCAGCCGCGGUAAUACGGAGGGUGCAAGCGUUACUCGGAAUCACUGGGCGUAAAGAGCGCGUAGGCGGGAUAGCAAGUCAGAUGUGAAAUCCUAGGGCUUAACCAUAGAAAUGCAUUUGAAACUGUUAUUCUAGAGUAUGGGAGAGGUAGGUGGAAGUCUUGGUGUAGGGGUAAAAUCCGUAGAGAUCAAGAGGAAUACUCAUUGCGAAGGCGACCUGCUAGAACAUAACUGACGCUGAUGCGCGAAAGCGUGGGGAGCAAACAGGAUUAGAUACCCCAGUAGUC
rnacentral:rRNA from 1 species